rnacentral:misc_RNA from 1 species
GAUGAAGAACGUAGCGAAAUGCGAUAAGUAAUGUGAAUUGCAGAAUUCAGUGAAUCAUCGAAUCUUUGAACGCACCUUGCGCUCCUUGGUAUUCCAAGGAGCAUGCCUGUUUGAGUAUCAUUAAAUUAUCAACUGUGCCAAUUUGGUUACAGAUUGGAUGUGGGAGAUUCUUUUUGCAGGCCUUUGACUUCUCUUUGAGAAAAAAAUAAAAGGUCGGCUCUCCUGAAAUGUAUUAGCAGUGCCUUUGUUGGUUCAUUAGGUGUGAUAAAUUGUCUACAUCUUCGCAUGAUACCUUCAUUUGUAAAGGUCAUAUUGCUUCUAAAUUGUCUUUGAUUGGACGCAAAACAUAUAUAAUGUUUGACAAACUUGAUCUCAAAUCAGGCAGGACUACCCGCUGAACUUAAGCAUAUCAAUAAGCGGAGGA